AAAGAAUGAUAGAAGUGGUUGAUCUGACAGAAAAGGUUGUGGUGGUGGUUUAGUUACAGUGUAUGUUUGCUCUAAGUAAAUGUUAAUCUAUACUUAGAGCUAACAACACUUGUGCCUAAACUGCUUAACUUCAAUCUUCAUCUCUUUUCUGUACUAAAUUCUCUCUUAGGUUCACUUUUUUUUUUUCUUUUUCUGCUAUUCCAUCUUAUUAUCUUCUUUUCUGCAGUUAUUUAGAAAUUCUAAAUUAAUUUUCACUGAAAUUUUAUCAGCAGAUUAGUGACACGUGGUUCGUAUUUUGAAGGUUGGGAUCAUUAUUUGAAAAUUUGAUUAGAAAACCGAUUUUUUAUUGUUGAUAGGAUUAUUGUUUUGAGUAGGCAUUUUAUUAGUGUUUUUUUUUAAUUUGAUUAUCUUAUACCUAUAUUCCGUUAUAGUUAAAUUUGAUUCAUUGAUUUGUAUCUAUUUUUACUUCUAUAAUUUUUUUGCAAUGAAAUAUAUUUGAAAUUCACUUGUGAAAUUCAGGUUAUUUGCUUAAUGGUAGAAUAAAAGACAUUUAUUUAAAAUUGGAAUAGCAAAACCAGAAAGUUGCAAUGAUGAGUCCAAUGGAGCACGGAAAGUGGGGGUGUUUCAUCUCCACCUCCAAGCUUUCAUCCUGCACCUCCAAAAAUUACUAUUUUAACCUUAAUUAAUAUUAUUUUAAUAUUUUAUCUUUCUUCAUAAAGUGAUUCUGUAUCCCUCUAACUUUUUCUCUUUCUUAUUAAAGUCAACCUACACCCUUCUAAUUUUUUCUCUCUUUUAUUAAAGUCAUCCUACAUCAUUUUAAUAGAUUUUAAAAUCUAUACAAUUUUUAUAUAAAUUUUCUAAAUUUCAUUUUAAGAUUUAAAAUUUAAUAAUAAUUUAAUUUAAUUU
rnacentral:lncRNA from 1 species